UAAGACGAACCGUACAAACGUUAUUCGGAAUUACUGGGCUUAAAGGGUGCGUAGGCGGCUUGGCAAGUUGGGUGUGAAAUCCCUCGGCUCAACCGAGGAACGGCGCCCAAAACUGCCAGACUUGAGGGAGACAGAGGUGAGUGGAACUUAGGGUGGAGCGGUGAAAUGCGUUGAUAUCCUAAGGAACACCAGUGGCGAAAGCGACUCACUGGGUCUCUUCUGACGCUGAGGCACGAAAGCUAGGGUAGCGAACGGGAUUAGAUACCCCGGUAGUCCUAGCUGUAAACGAUGAGCACUGGGUCGGAGAGUCCUCCAUAGCUUUCCGGCCGUAGCGAAAGUGCUAAGUGCUCCGCCUGGGGAGUAUGGUCGCAAGGCUG
rnacentral:rRNA from 1 species